rnacentral:rRNA from 1 species
UACGUAGGGUGCGAGCGUUGUCCGGAAUUAUUGGGCGUAAAGAGCUCGUAGGCGGUUUGUCACGUCUGCUGUGAAAUCCCGAGGCUCAACCUCGGGCCUGCAGUGGGUACGGGCAGACUGGAGUGCGGUAGGGGAGAAUGGAAUUCCUGGUGUAGCGGUGGAAUGCGCAGAUAUCAGGAGGAACACCAGUGGCGAAGGCGAGUCUCUGGACAUUUCCUGACGCUGAGGCACGAAAGCCAGGGGAGCAAACGGG